rnacentral:rRNA from 1 species
AUCAGCAGUGCGGCGGCUAUACAUGCAGUCGAGCGAAUGGAUUAAGAGCUUGCUCUUAUGAAGUUAGCGGCGGACGGGUGAGUAACACGUGGGUAACCUGCCCAUAAGACUGGGAUAACUCCGGGAAACCGGGGCUAAUACCGGAUAACAUUUUGAACCGCAUGGUUCGAAAUUGAAAGGCGGCUUCGGCUGUCACUUAUGGAUGGACCCGCGUCGCAUUAGCUAGUUGGUGAGGUAACGGCUCACCAAGGCAACGAUGCGUAGCCGACCUGAGAGGGUGAUCGGCCACACUGGGACUGAGACACGGCCCAGACUCCUACGGGAGGCAGCAGUAGGGAAUCUUCCGCAAUGGACGAAAGUCUGACGGAGCAACGCCGCGUGAGUGAUGAAGGCUUUCGGGUCGUAAAACUCUGUUGUUAGGGAAGAACAAGUGCUAGUUGAAUAAGCUGGCACCUUGACGGUACCUAACCAGAAAGCCACGGCUAACUACGUGCCAGCAGCCGCGGUAAUACGUAGGUGGCAAGCGUUAUCCGGAAUUAUUGGGCGUAAAGCGCGCGCAGGUGGUUUCUUAAGUCUGAUGUGAAAGCCCACGGCUCAACCGUGGAGGGUCAUUGGAAACUGGGAGACUUGAGUGCAGAAGAGGAAAGUGGAAUUCCAUGUGUAGCGGUGAAAUGCGUAGAGAUAUGGAGGAACACCAGUGGCGAAGGCGACUUUCUGGUCUGUAACUGACACUGAGGCGCGAAAGCGUGGGGAGCAAACAGGAUUAGAUACCCUGGUAGUCCACGCCGUAAACGAUGAGUGCUAAGUGUUAGAGGGUUUCCGCCCUUUAGUGCUGAAGUUAACGCAUUAAGCACUCCGCCUGGGGAGUACGGCCGCAAGGCUGAAACUCAAAGGAAUUGACGGGGGCCCGCACAAGCGGUGGAGCAUGUGGGUUUAAUUCGAAGCAACGCGAAGAACCUUACCAGGUCUUGACAUCCUCUGAAAACCCUAGAGAAUAGGGCUUCUCCUUUCGGGAGCAGAGUGACAAGGUGGUGCAUAUUGUCGUCAGCUCGUGUCGUGAGAAUGUUGGGUUAAGUUCCGCAACGGAGCGGCAACCCUGAUCUAGUUGCAUCAUUAGUGGGUAACUCCUAAGGUGACUGCCGGGUGAACAACCCGGAGG